GACGAACCGUGCGAACGUUGUUCGGAUUCACUGGGCUUAAAGGGCGCGUAGGCGGAUUCGUAAGUUCGGGGUGAAAUCCUUCGGCUCAACCGGAGAAGUGCCUCGGAUACUGCGAGUCUCGAGGGAGGUAGGGGCCGCGGGAACUUCCGGUGGAGCGGUGAAAUGCGUUGAUAUCGGAAGGAACGCCGGUGGCGAAAGCGCGCGGCUGGUCCUCUUCUGACGCUGAGGCGCGAAAGCUAGGGGAGCAAACGGG
rnacentral:rRNA from 1 species